UACGGAGGGAGCUAGCGUUGUUCGGAACUACUGGGCGUAAAGCGCACGUAGGCGGCACUGCAAGUUAGAGGUGAAAGCCCGGGGCUCAACUCCGGAACUGCCUUUAAGACUGCAUCGCUUGAACAUCGGAGAGGUAAGUGGAAUUCCGAGUGUAGAGGUGAAAUUCGUAGAUAUUCGGAAGAACACCAGUGGCGAAGGCGACUUACUGGACGAUUGUUGACGCUGAGGUGCGAAAGCGUGGGGAGCAAACAGG
rnacentral:rRNA from 1 species